rnacentral:sRNA from 1 species
UAAACUUGGUUGGGUUGCUGCUGGCCUCUCGGGGCACUGUGCACGCCUGGCACCAUUUUUAUAACCACCUGUGCACCUUUUGUAGUCUCUGAACGGCUUGGGUCGAAAGGCCCUGGUCGCGACGGGUCUAUGUCUUUACAUACCCCAUAAGAAUGUAACAGAAUGUCUUUUAAUGGCCUCUGCGCCACUAAUCAAAUACAACUUUCAACAACGGAUCUCUUGGCUCUCGCAUCGAUGAAGAACGCAGCGAAAUGCGAUAAGUAAUGUGAAUUGCAGAAUUCAGUGAAUCAUCGAAUCUUUGAACGCACCUUGCGCUCCUUGGUAUUCCGAGGAGCAUGCCUGUUUGAGUGUCAUUAAAUUCUCAACCUUUCCAGCUUUUACUAGCUUGGUCAGGCUUGGAUGUGGGGGCUGCGGGCUUUUAUUCUAAAGUCGGCUCUCCUUAAAUGCAUUAGCGAAACCUUUGGUUGACCAAUCCCUGGUGUGAUAAUUAUCUACGCCACCGAUAAACCUUACAAGGCCUUUUUGCUUCUAACCGUCCCUUGGGACAACACUUCAUGACAUUUUGACCUCAAAUCAGGUAGGACUACCCGCUGAACUUAAGCAUAUCAAUAAGCGGAGGAAAAGAAACUAA